rnacentral:rRNA from 1 species
UACGUAGGGGGCCAGCGUUGCUCGGAAUUACUGGGCGUACAGGGUCCGUAGGCGGUGUGGCAAGUCGGGAGUGAAAUCUCUGGGCUUAACCCAGAGGCUGCUUCCGAAACUGCCGUGCUAGAGUGUGAGAGAGGCGAGUGGAAUUGCGGGUGUAGCGGUGAAAUGCGUAGAUAUCUGCAGGAACACCCGUGGCGAAAGCGGCGCGCUGGACCACAACUGACGCUGAGGAACGAAAGCUAGGGGAGCAAACGGG